GACGAACGCUGGCGGUGUGCUUAACACAUGCAAGUCGAACGGUAAGGCCCUUUCGGGGGUACCCGAGUGGCGCACGGGUGAGUAACACGUGAGUAACCUGCCCUCAUCUCUGGGAUAACAGUCGGAAACGGUUGCUAAUACUGGAUAUGAGCUUGCAAGGCAUCUUGUGGGUUGGAAAGAUUUUUUUGGUUGGGGAUGGACUCGCGGCCUAUCAGCUUGUUGGUGAGGUAGUGGCUCACCAAGGCUUCGACGGGUAGCCGGCCUGAGAGGGCGACCGGCCACAUUGGGACUGAGAUACGGCCCAAACUCCUACGGGAGGCAGCAGUGGGGAAUAUUGCACAAUGGACGGAAGUCUGAUGCAGCAACGCCGCGUGCGGGAUGACGGCCUUCGGGUUGUAAACCGCUUUCAAUUGUGACGAAGCUUUUUGUGACGGUAGCAGUAGAAGAAGCACCGGCUAACUACGUG
rnacentral:rRNA from 1 species